rnacentral:rRNA from 1 species
AUUGAACGCUGGCGGCAUGCUUUACACAUGCAAGUCGAACGGUAACAGGCCGCAAGGUGCUGACGAGUGGCGAACGGGUGAGUAAUGCAUCGGAACGUGCCCAGUCGUGGGGGAUAACUACUCGAAAGAGUAGCUAAUACCGCAUACGAUCUAUGGAUGAAAGCGGGGGACCGUAAGGCCUCGCGCGAUUGGAGCGGCCGAUGUCAGAUUAGGUAGUUGGUGGGGUAAAGGCUCACCAAGCCAACGAUCUGUAGCUGGUCUGAGAGGACGACCAGUCACACUGGGACUGAGACACGGCCCAGACUCCUACGGGAGGCAGCAGUGGGGAAUUUUGGACAAUGGGCGCAAGCCUGAUCCAGCAAUGCCGCGUGCAGGAAGAAGGCCUUCGGGUUGUAAACUACUUUUGUACGGAACGAAACGGCUCUGGUUAAUACCCGGGGCUAAUGACGGUACCGUAAGAAUAAGCACCGGCUAACUACGUG